CCGUAGCGUAAAUUCUGUACUAAUUAUUAAUUGUCAGUUAAUUCAAAAAAAAAAUUUAUUCGCUAGGGGAAGUUUGUGCUGGUUUCGGUUUGUUUGUAAUAAUACCGUAUGUUUAGCUUUCCUAAUACUCGUAUUUCAGAGAAAUGUUUUGAACAAAAUAUUCCGAGAAGUUAAUUGUUUACCUCUACAGUUCGUUUCAAAUUAAUUCUUGGAAUUUAUCUUAAAAAUACAACAUAAGGCAGCAGUCUACAUUGAGCGACAGUGCGGGUAUACAACGUUCAUUCAUUUCAGUCUUGUAAGUCUGAUUAUUUCCUCAUACGUAAUUUUAUUUAAAAAUAAAGUGAAUAAUUUUUAACCCCAGUUAAAAUGAGUACAAAACGAAAGAGCUAUUCCGUCGAGUACAAAAAGGGAAUCGUGGAAGACCCCAGGGGUGUAAAUCUUGUAGCAUUCGGUAAAGAGAAAAUGCUGGAUCUCUGUAUGGUUCGUAAAUGGCAUGCAGACUACGAUUACCUGUGUCAACUGGUGGACCAAGGAAAUGAGAAAAACGGAAAUGGAUCAGGUCGGCAGCCGUUAUUUUCUGAGUUGGAAGAUUGCAUCUGGGAAUGGAUUGCAGGCAGGAGAGCAAUGGCUUUGGUUGUGCGCAGGGCUGAUAUU
rnacentral:lncRNA from 1 species